GAGAGUUUGAUCCUGGCUCAGGAUGAACGCUAGCUACAGGCUUAACACAUGCAAGUCGAGGGGCAGCAUGGUCUUAGCUUGCUAAGGCCGAUGGCGACCGGCGCACGGGUGAGUAACACGUAUCCAACCUGCCGUCUACUCUUGGACAGCCUUCUGAAAGGAAGAUUAAUACAAGAUGGCAUCAUGAGUCCACAUGUUCACAUGAUUAAAGGUAUUCCGGUAGACGAUGGGGAUGCGUUCCAUUAGAUAGUAGGCGGGGUAACGGCCCACCUAGUCUUCGAUGGAUAGGGGUUCUGAGAGGAAGGUCCCCCACAUUGGAACUGAGACACGGUCCAAACUCCUACGGGAGGCAGCAGUGAGGAAUAUUGGUCAAUGGGCGAGAGCCUGAACCAGCCAAGUAGCGUGGAGGAUGACUGCCCUAUGGGUUGUAAACUUCUUUUAUAAAGGAAUAAAGUCGGGUAUGGAUACCCGUUUGCAUGUACUUUAUGAAUAAGGAUCGGCUAACUCCGUGCCAGCAGCCGCGGUAAUACGGAGGAUCCGAGCGUUAUCCGGAUUUAUUGGGUUUAAAGGGAGCGUAGAUGGAUGUUUAAGUCAGUUGUGAAAGUUUGCGGCUCAACCGUAAAAUUGCAGUUGAUACUGGAUAUCUUGAGUGCAGUUGAGACAGGCGGAAUUCGUGGUGUAGCGGUGAAAUGCUUAGAUAUCACGAAGAACUCCGAUUGCGAAGGCAGCCUGCUAAGCUGCAACUGACAUUGAGGCUCGAAAGUGUGGGUAUCAAACAGGAUUAGAUACCCUGGUAGUCCACACGGUAAACGAUGAAUACUCGCUGUUUGCGAUAUACUGCAAGCGGCCAAGCGAAAGCGUUAAGUAUUCCACCUGGGGAGUACGCCGGCAACGGUGAAACUCAAAGGAAUUGACGGGGGCCCGCACAAGCGGAGGAACAUGUGGUUUAAUUCGAUGAUACGCGAGGAACCUUACCCGGGCUUAAAUUGCAGAUGAAUUACGGUGAAAGCCGUAAGCCGCAAGGCAUCUGUGAAGGUGCUGCAUGGUUGUCGUCAGCUCGUGCCGUGAGGUGUCGGCUUAAGUGCCAUAACGAGCGCAACCCUUGUUGUCAGUUACUAACAGGUUCCGCUGAGGACUCUGACAAGACUGCCAUCGUAAGAUGUGAGGAAGGUGGGGAUGACGUCAAAUCAGCACGGCCCUUACGUCCGGGGCUACACACGUGUUACAAUGGGGGGUACAGAGGGCCGCUACCACGCGAGUGGAUGCCAAUCCCCAAAACCUCUCUCAGUUCGGACUGGAGUCUGCAACCCGACUCCACGAAGCUGGAUUCGCUAGUAAUCGCGCAUCAGCCACGGCGCGGUGAAUACGUUCCCGGGCCUUGUACACACCGCCCGUCAAGCCAUGGGAGCCGGGGGUACCUGAAGUGCGUAACCGCGAGGAGCGCCCUAGGGUAAAACUGGUGACUGGGGCUAAGUCGUAACAAGGUAGCCG
rnacentral:rRNA from 1 species